rnacentral:tRNA from 2 species
GGGCUGUUAGCUCAGUUGGCAGAGCAGCUGCCUCUUAAGCAGAAGUGCGUAGGUUCAAUCCCUACACAGCCCACCU